GACGAACGCUGGCGGCGUGCCUAAUGCAUGCAAGUCGCACGCGGCACCUUCGGGUGCUGAGUGGCGAACGGCUGAGGAGCACGAGGGGACCUGUCCGGGAGUGGGGGACAACACCGCGAAAGCGGUGCAAAUGCCGCAUACGCACAGAGGAGGAAAGCCGAAAGGCGAUGCCGGGUGGCCCUGCGGCCCAUCAGGUUGUUGGUGGUGUGACUGCCUACCAAGCGAAUGCAGGGUCGCUGGUGUGUGGGGACGACCAGCCAGACUGGCGGUGGGACAGGGCCCAGACUUCUACGGGAGAGAGCAGCAAAGAAUUUUAGGAAAUGGGCGCAAGUCUGGCAGAGCAACGCCGCGUGCAGGAAGACGGCCUUCGGGUUAUAAACUUCUUUUACUAGGGAUGAUAACUGACAGUACCUGGCGAAUAAGCCCCGGCUAACUCUGUG
rnacentral:rRNA from 1 species